rnacentral:rRNA from 1 species
AGUGAAGCGGCAACAGCUCAAAUUUGAAAGCUAGCCUUCGGGUUCGCAUUGUAAUUUGUAGAGGAUGAUUUGGGGAAGCCGCCUGUCUAAGUUCCUUGGAACAGGACGUCAUAGAGGGUGAGAAUCCCGUAUGUGACAGGAAAUGGCACCCUAUGUAAAUCUCCUUCGACGAGUCGAGUUGUUUGGGAAUGCAGCUCUAAAUGGGAGGUAAAUUUCUUCUAAAGCUAAAUAUUGGCGAGAGACCGAUAGCGCACAAGUAGAGUGAUCGAAAGAUGAAAAGCACUUUGGAAAGAGAGUUAAAAAGCACGUGAAAUUGUUGAAAGGGAAGCGCUUGCAAUCAGACUUGUUUAAACUGUUCGGCCGGUCUUCUGACCGGUUUACUCAGUUUGGACAGGCCAGCAUCAGUUUCGGCGGCCGGAUAAAGGCUCUGGGAAUGUGGCCUCCACUUCGGUGGAGGUGUUAUAGCCCAGGGUGUAUNCNGCCAGCCGGGACUGAGGUCCGCGCUUCGGCUAGGAUGCUGGCGUAAUGGUUGUAAGCGACCC